rnacentral:snRNA from 1 species
GUGCUUACUUUGGCAGCACAUAUACUAAAACUGCAACAAUACGAGAUGAUUAGCAUGGCCCUUGCACAAGGAUGGCAUGCAAAUUUGUGAAGCAUUCCAUAUUUUU